CUUUAGAUAAAUUAGUAAAAGUAAUUUUUCCUAGAUAAGGAACAUUGAAGUUACAGCUGUGAGAAUCCAAUUUGUGUCAGUCUCUAGUUGUCUUCUUCAUAUGUUAGUUUAAAUUCCUUGCUUUGCCUUCCCAACAGAGGUUAAGAUCUGGGCCCUGCCUGCUGACUACAGUAUAACCCAUGAGGCUUGAUUAUUCAUGAAAAGUUUCAGAAGGCUAUCAACUCCACCACAGCAGGUGGAAUGUCAACAUUUAUUUCUGCUGUGUUUUGAGAUGGCACAGAAGGAAGGAAAUAGAACACAAAGUAUUAAUGUGAGACAGAAUUAAAGAAACUAGUCCAGGCCUGUAAAUUUUACUUAAAAACAAAACCAAGAGGACCAAGGACGUCAUCUGAUUUUAUAUGUUCUCCCGUAUCUCCUUUUGUAUUCAGGCUAUUGCUCAAACCAUAUAACUUUUUUUUUUAGCCACUCCUCACGGCAUGUGGAAUCUUAGUUCACUGACGAGAUAUCCAAACUGUGCCCCCUCUAAUGGAAGCUUUGAUUCUUAAUCACAGGACUGCCAGAGAAGUCCCAAGGCAUAUGAUUUUGAUGCAUGGUUCCUAGUCAAAUAGAGUUCAUCUGACGUUUUGAUCCUUUCUAGAACAUUUUGCCUAUGUAACCAGCCUGCUGGACAGGCUCAGAACUGCGAGUAAUUGUAACUGUGGCUGGAUGGAAUGGAUUUUAUAACUUGGAGGUGUUAUGUUUGGCUGCACUAAAAUUGCAUUACAACCCUGGGAUAAAAUGAAGGUUUACCGACAAAAAGAAAAUAUAUGUAAAUAACGACUCCCAUUAUUCUGACUCAUGUUUGUAUAAACUGCAUACAAAAAAAAAAAAAAGCUUUUCCAUUCACAGUUGCUAUAGGGGAGAGGGAAGGGGGAAUACAGAUUUCUCACAAGUGGAUUUCUGAUCAUUUAGCUCAUUAUUGAAAGAUGCAUAAAGUCCUUUUCUAAACCUUUCUCAUUCCUUUUAUAAAUUAGGAGAGUGGUUCAAACCUGAGUGUGCCGAGGAAAGUCAAAGAAUCCAGCCAUCUCCCACCAGAAGAAACAAUGGAAUUCAUUCUGAGAAGGCUGGAGAAACGUGCUUGGAAUUUUUCAAACCAAAAAAUUGGGGAAAACAGAGAGAGAUUGGUGUCACCGAACAAAACAAUCUGAAUAAUUCUGGCCUCGGAGUCACUUCUGAGAUCAGAGGGAUAUUUGCCCACAUUAUUCACCAAAUGAGACUGAUGAGCAGCAUUAGAGAGUCAAGAAAGCCUAAAGCAGGCUGUAGAAUGCCUGUGGAACCAAUUAUUUACCCUCAUCAAACCUCAGGUGAGUGGAUUUUGUUGCCUUAAUUCACUUAAAAAAAAAAAAAAAAAAAAAAACCCUAAACAAAAAUGUGAAGCUCUCUGUCCAAACACAAGAAAGAGUUUUAGAGCACAUGGAAUUUAGCACCAAAGAAAUUAUGAGCUGAUAUUUGCUCACAUUUGUUAUAUCUAUUUACUCAUUCUAAAAAAA
rnacentral:lncRNA from 1 species